rnacentral:rRNA from 1 species
UCUUAGCUUGCUAAGGCCGAUGGCGACCGGCGCACGGGUGAGUAACACGUAUCCCACCUGCCGUCUACUCUUGGACAGCCUUCUGAAAGGAAGAUUAAUACAAGAUGGCAUCAUGAGUUCGCAUGUUCACAUGAUUAAAGGUAUUCCGGUAGACGAUGGGGAUGCGUUCCAUUAGAUAGUAGGCGGGGUAACGGCCCACCUAGUCUUCGAUGGAUAGGGGUUCUGAGAGGAAGGUCCCCCACAUUGGAACUGAGACACGGUCCAAACUCCUACGGGAGGCAGCAGUGAGGAAUAUUGGUCAAUGGGCGAGAGCCUGAACCAGCCAAGUAGCGUGAAGGAUGACUGCCCUAUGGGUUGUAAACUUCUUUUAUAAAGGAAUAAAGUCGGGUAUGUAUACCCGUUUGCAUGUACUUUAUGAAUAAGGAUCGGCUAACUCCGUGCCAGCAGCCGCGGUAAUACGGAGGAUCCGAGCGUUAUCCGGAUUUAUUGGGUUUAAAGGGAGCGUAGAUGGAUGUUUAAGUCAGUUGUGAAAGUUUGCGGCUCAACCGUAAAAUUGCAGUUGAUACUGGAUAUCUUGAGUGCAGUUGAGGCAGGCGGAAUUCGUGGUGUAGCGGUGAAAUGCUUAGAUAUCACGAAGAACUCCGAUUG